GGGGGCGAAACAGGAUCGACAAGGGUGUAAAGAUCGCUCUUUUACUCGGCAUGAUACCACCGUUAUCGGGUCAACAGAGUAGUUGCAAAUGACAACAAUGCUCAGGGUUAUGCUCUCGCUGCCUAAUGGCGGUGCGGGAAACCUACUCUAAAGUCCUUAGGGUUAGCCCCUUAAGGCGGGGUUCGGAGGCACCUGGCAACAGAAGCUUCCACUU
rnacentral:tmRNA from 1 species